rnacentral:lncRNA from 1 species
AAUCGAUUACAGGACAAGUGCUGCCCCGGAGGCUCCGCGACGCGCGCACUCCCUCGCGCCCACCCGCGCGCCCGGCCGCGUCGCCCCCAGCCCGUUGGUCCCCGGACUGCGGACCCCGCCCCCGACGGGGGCCAGGUAACCCGCUUCCGAGUGUGCCACGGCGACCCCCAUCUCCCCUCCCCGUGUCAUAAUAAAUCUCACGUUUUCUGCCGGCUGGAGGCUUGGAGCGUCAAAGGAACGGAUGAGUACAAAAAGUUGCUACCCUUGAAGUGUUACCUAUCACUAUCAACCACAGCUUGUUUAUUUGGAAAGAACUUAAGUGAACCGUCAAGAGAAAAACAAAUGCAUAUUCUUUCUACAAAUAGUAGCAUUUAGUAUCUUUCCUGACCACAUUUGCGAAAAGAGGGAAUAGAGACUUCUAUAAUUAAAGGGAAAAGGAAAAUGAAAGGAGCUGAAAAUAGUGAACUGUGUAGUCUGGAUGGCUGAAAUUUGAAAACACAUGAAAUUAUCAGGACUGCCAAACGGUGUUCCUGAGAAACCAUAUCACAGAUUGUGAAGAAAAUCAAUGCUAGAAGAGUCGGAACAGGCACCGUACUCUUACUCCUUUGAAGAAUCCCAGAAAUAGUUGUUGAGGUUUUUUUUUUCUGCUGAGAAAAAAAGAUAUAUUGGAAAUUAAGUCAUCAACAGUACCUUAAGCACCACUCUGUAGGUAAUUUUGGAUAGUGUCUUUUCUUUACAUUUUGAUAUAGGGAAGGAAUUAAUUCACAUCGACACAAACGAAGUAAUGGAUACCAUAUAACUUGUGUGAUACUGUAGCUUUUAUAAUGAAUUACUUCUUGAAAGUUUUUUUUCCUAUACAAUGUAUUAUUAAACAAUUGUAACGAUAGUCUCUUUUUGUUUAACUAUAGAAAAUGGUAGAUAGUGUGGUACAGCAAACAAGAUUAACAAAUUUUCGUUGGAGAGAAAUUAUUUGGGCUCAGGCUUGCAAUAACAUUAUGAUGAUUUUAAGAAAAAUUGCAGUUCCUGUGAGUUAUAUAUUGAUAAGGCAG